rnacentral:rRNA from 1 species
AUGAAAUGCAAGCCGGCCCCAGCGCACUGCAUGUCCAGCCCUCACAGCACUACACCUGUGCGCCCAUGGGAUCACAACAAAAAUCUAAAAAACAAAAAGAUGUCAACCGUGAGCAAAAUACACACAAAAAACAUUGUCGUCUUGCCCCUAUCUUUGCGGACUGCACGCACAUGGGUGCCGCACUGCACGUCAACGCCACAUGAACCACCUCAAGACACACACAAAGUUCAAAUAGUGGACUGCACUGAAUUGAUAUGCCAGGACCUCCACUUCAACGAACUGCAGAUAAAACACAAGGCCAAACCUAAAAACCCAAAAAAUGCUUAUGGACUGCGUCGAGAGGACACUGCAAUGCGUCAACAACACACAAAAUUUGACCAUGGAUGGUAG